rnacentral:misc_RNA from 1 species
GAUGAAGAACGCAGCGAAAUGCGAUACGUAAUGUGAAUUGCAGAAUUCAGUGAAUCAUCGAGUCUUUGAACGCACAUUGCACCCCCUGGUAUUCCGGGGGGCAUGCCUGUCCGAGCGUCAUUGCUGCCCUCAAGCACGGCUUGUGUGUUGGGCCUCCGUCCUCCUCCCGGGGGACGGGCCCGAAAGGCAGCGGCGGCACCGCGUCCGGUCCUCGAGCGUAUGGGGCUUCGUCACCCGCUCUUGUAGGCCCGGCCGGCGCUUGCCGACACAUCAAUCUUUUUUCCAUGUUGACCUCGGAUCAGGUAGGGAUACCCGCUGAACUUAAGCAUAUCAAUAAGCGGAGGA